AUAACAUUAAGUGGUCUUGCUAUGCAAGAACACUUAAAUUAUUAAACCCCCAUUAAAAAUCCGGUUUAGUGUCAAAAUUUACAGACUUUCAGCUUUUUGCAAUGAACAAAUAAAACUAAAGCAAUUGAAAAAGCUGAACACAAUAAAUGCUUCAAGUGGUUUCCCCAAGUGCAACUGAAAAUGCAACUUUUAAUAACUUCUCGUUUCAAAAUGAUUCAAGCACACCUCAUGAAUCCCUUGAUUAGUUUCAUUAGUUGGACCAGGUGUGCUUGAGCUGGAACACUUGAAAUACCUAAACUGGGUAGGGGUUUGUUGAGUGCCCUGUUUGACAGCAUGUUAGAAAUAUGGCUGUCAAAAGAAUGGUCCACAAAUUUAAGAGAAGAGAUCAUCGCCCUUGACAAACAAGGAACAGGAUACAAAAAGAUAGGGAAGGCACUGAAUGUUAUGAGAUAUCGUUGGAAACUGUGUUAAUUUUGGCUGCAAAUUUCAAUUUAGUUUUAGUCAUAGUCUUUUUUUACUAGAAAACUAUUUUAGUCGUAUUUUUUAUCUGAAUUGUUUUAGUAGACUAAAUCUCCGGUAGAUUUGUCAACACAACUAAAAUCUAAUUGGCUUAGUUAAAUUUCAACUUGGUUGAAUAUUGAUUAUAACUGUAUAUUGUAGGUCAUUAUAUUGCUGGAGACCCCACGACCUGUGACCGAAACACAGCUUUCUGAAGCUGGGCAGUACAUUUCUCUCCAGAAUGCCUUGAUUGUCUUCAUUGUGACCUGCACACAUUCUAAACACCUAGUACCAGAGGCAGCAAACCAUCACUAAUUUUCCUCCAUCUUUCACAUUAGUGCUGGUGUUCUUUAUUUGAAGGAUAUGUCAGGCAAAGUUUCGGGCACAAGCCCUUUUUCAAUGCAAAUUUGCAUUGAAAAAGGGCUUGUGCCCAAAACGUUUGGCUUUUAUGUUCUUUAAAUAAAUGAUUGGUAGCACAUUGAUGCAC